AGGCCUCUUCUAAGGCCCAAAUGCUUAUCUUCUAAUCCCAAAAUCAACACAGAGCAGCUUCGUUACCAGCUUGACCAACUCCAUGCCGAAGCUGAGACCACCCGCGCUAAAGCUAGCAAUGCUAGAUUGAGGUUUUCGCGGCUAUCAGAGGCGGCCGAGAAGC